GACGAACGCUGGCGGCGUGCUUAACACAUGCAAGUCGAACGGAAAGGCCCUGCUUUUGUGGGGUGCUCGAGUGGCGAACGGGUGAGUAACACGUGUGUAACCUGCCCUUGACUUUGGGAUAACUUCACGAAACUGGGGCUACUACCGGAUAGGAUCUCCUGCUGCAUUGUGGGGGUUGGAAAUUUUCGGCGGUUGGGGAUGGACUCGCGGCUUAUCAGCUUGUUGGUGGGGUAGUGGCUUACCACGGCUUUGACGGGUAGGCGACCUGAGAGGGUGACCGGGGACAUGGGGACUAAGAGAGGGAGCAGAGGGGAACGGGAGGCAGUAGGGGGGAAUAUUGCACAAUGGGAGGAAGCGUGAUGAAGAAACGCCGGGGGCGGGAUGACGGCCUUCGGGGUGAAAACAGCUUUAGCCUGUGACGAAGCGGGAGUGACGGUAAUGGGUAAAGAAGCACCGGCUAACUACGUG
rnacentral:rRNA from 1 species